CGAGCUGGCCGGGCGGCCGCGUCAGCGUGAUGCUGCCGAGGAAAGUCCGGACUCCACAGGGCAGGGUGGUUGUCAACAGCAACCCGGGGUGACCCGCGGGACAGUGCCACAGAAAACAGACCGCCCCGCCCCACGAGAUCGACGGGGCCGGGGUAAGGGUGAAACGGUGGUGUAAGAGACCACCAGCGUCCCGGGUGACCGGGACGGCUCGGUAAACCCCACCCGGAGCAAGGCCAAGAGGGCACCGCACGGUGCCUGCGCAGGCGUUCGAGGGUUGCCCGCCCGAUGCCUGCGGGUAGGCCGCUGGAGCCUGUCGGUGACGGCAGGCCGAGAUGGAUGGCCGCCGGCCGGGCCGCCGCGAGGCGCCCGGCGCACAGAAUCCGGCUUACAGGCCAGCUCGUCCG
rnacentral:RNase_P_RNA from 1 species